rnacentral:rRNA from 1 species
AACGAACGUUGGCGGCAGGCCUAACACAUGCAAGUCGAACGGGUAUCUUCGGAUACUAGUGGCGGACGGGUGAGUAACGCGUGGGAACGUACCCUUUGGUUCGGAAUAGCCCCGGGAAACUGGGAGUAAUACCGGAUAAGCUCUUUGGAGGAAAGAAUUUCGCCAAGGGAUCGGCCCGCGUUGGAUUAGGUAGUUGGUGGGGUAACGGCCCACCAAGCCGACGAUCCAUAGCUGGUUUGAGAGGAUGAUCAGCCACACUGGG